CAGUUUAGUUGUGUAAGUUGUGUGUAUUAAGUAAUAAUUUUUUUUUAUUCUUAUUAUGUUGGUUAUAUGUUUUUUUAGUUUUAAACUUGUUGUUUUUACCGGACCUUUAAAACAAAUAUAUGAAGACUUGUAGAAAUAACUAUAAAAUGAGUGACAAUUAGUAUUUGAGUCUUAAUGGAUUUUAAACGAAUAUAUGUAUUUCUCAUAAGAAGACAAUAGCUUUGGCAUGUUGACAUUGAGCAUAUAAGCUAUUUUUAUAAGACAAGAGGAAUGAGCAGGUGGAGAUGUUGUUGCCGCCUUUGUGUCUGUUGGGAUUGUCUAUAGUAUCUCCUGGUGUGGCUGUGUUUGUUUCUCUUUUAUUUGAUGGGUAAUAUGUAAACAAAAAUUAUUGUUAGUUGUAUUUAUCAGAGUUUGUAACUUACUCUGCUUUUUGUUUAGGUAAUUUCAGUGAUAUUGGUUGUCGACUUCGUCUUCUUCGUAAGCAUCUGUGAAAGUAAGUUUGUAAAUUGUUAAUUAUUUGGCUGUGUAGUUUAUAUUUGUUUAGCUGGCUCAAUGUAUGUGUCG
rnacentral:lncRNA from 1 species